rnacentral:rRNA from 1 species
AUACGGAGGGUGCAAGCGUUAUUCGGAAUCACUGGGCGUAAAGGACGCGUAGGCGGGUUGGCAAGUCAGAUGUGAAAUCCUACAGCUUAACUGUAGAACUGCAUUUGAAACUGCUAACCUAGAGUAUGGGAGGGGGAGAUGGAAUUAGUGGUGUAGGGGUAAAAUCCGUAGAUAUCACUAGGAAUACCGAAAGUGAAGGCGAUCUCCUGGAACAUAACUGACGCUAAGGCGUGAAAGCGUGGGGAGCAAACAGGAUUAGAUACCCUAGUAGUCC